rnacentral:misc_RNA from 1 species
GCCAUUCACAAGUGAAACGCAGAGAAAUAGAAGAGAGAUGGAGCCAUGGAAUUCACAAGUGAUUCUCCCUCUCCUUGUAUACUUGGUAGCUGUGGCGCUACUCUCUGCAUCUUCCAUUCACGCCUCUGAUCACGCAACAAAUGGAGGCGUUGGGCGCAGAUUGUUACUUGGUUUGAAAGAGAAACCUCGCGGAACUAACCUUACCUUCGAUUGCUCUCCUUCUG